GCCCAUAGCUGGUUUCCUUUCCCCUUUUGACCGGGAACAAACCUUUGAUUCACAGCUGGAGAAAGUCCACAGUCUCUUCCGGCGACAGUUGGCGAUCCCACUCUAUGAUAUGGAGGCAACAUUUGCAGAGUAUGAAGAGUGGUCGGAAGAACCAGUACCGGAGUCGGUAAUUCAGAACUAUAACAAAGCACUACAGCAGUUGGAGAAAUACAAACCCUAUGAGGAAGCGCUGGUUAAGAAAUAGAACAUUGCCAGUACCUUAGAAGUCUCCCAUGUGCCCCUCUCCGAUUGCCUCCUCCUCCCUCUCCCGAGAGGUAAUCACUUUCCUGACUUUCG